UGAAACUCAAAGGAAUUGACGGGGGCCCGCACAAGCGGUGGAGCAUGUGGUUCAAUUCGACGCAACGCGAAGAACCUUACCCAGGCUUGAACUGCAGGUGACAUCCUACGAAAGUAGGCUUCCGCAAGGACACCUGUAGAGGUGCUGCAUGGCUGUCGUCAGCUCGUGUCGUGAGAUGUUGGGUUAAGUCCCGCAACGAGCGCAACCCUUGUCUUCUGUUGCCAUCGGGUUAUGCCGGGCACUCUGAAGAGACUGCCGGUGACAAACCGGAGGAAGGUGGGGAUGACGUCAAGUCAGCAUGGCCUUUAUGUCUGGGGCCACACACGUGCUACAAUGGCCGGUACAAACCGUCGCGAUCUCGCGAGAGGGAGCUAAUCGGAGAAAGCCGGUCUCAGUUCGGAUUGUAGGCUGCAACUCGCCUGCAUGAAGUUGGAAUCGCUAGUAAUCGCGGAUCAGCACGCCGCGGUGAAUACGUUCCCGGGCCUUGUAGACACCGCCCGUCACAUCACGAAAGCCGGCUGUACUAAGGGGCGCUGCGCUAACCCGCAAGGGGGGCAAGCGCCUAAGGUAUG
rnacentral:rRNA from 1 species